GGGCCGGUAGCUUAAAGUUAAAGCAGUGGCCUCAUAAGCCAACGAGUGGGAGUUAGAGUCUCCCCUGGCCCACCA
rnacentral:tRNA from 4 species